UACGAAGGGGGCGAGCGUUGUUCGGAUUUACUGGGCGUAAAGCGCGUGUAGGCGGUUAUCCAAGUCGGGUGUGAAAGCCUUGAGCUUAACUCAAGAAAUGCAUUCGGUACUGGGUGACUAGAGGACCGGAGAGGAUAGUGGAAUUCCCAGUGUAGUGGUGAAAUACGUAGAGAUUGGGAAGAACACCAGUGGCGAAGGCGGCUAUCUGGACGGUUUCUGACGCUAAGACGCGAAAGCGUGGGGAGCAAACAGG
rnacentral:rRNA from 1 species